AAACUAAGGCAAAACUAAAAUAUCUGCAGCAACUUCUUCCGAAGGCUUCCAAGCCAUUUCAUUGGGGCUAUGGCGAUUGCUUCAUCUGCAGAUAGUUCUUCUAUUUGAUCAACCACAGUGGUUUCUUGAUUCCUUAAUUCGCCCAUUUUUGUAUCAUCUUUAGCUUCAGAUUCUUUCACACCACUAUCUGGUUUCACUGUUAUCUUUAUCGGUUUACCAAGCUUCGAUUUAUCUUCCAUUCGUGCAUUUUCAAGAGCCUUUGGACAUACAGGAAACCCCUGAUCAUCCCACGAUUCUAAAAUCACACCUGACCCAAUGCACCUCCUUCCCUUAUAAAAGGCUGCAAACUGGCCUGCUGCAAGGCCUUGGUCGUCUUCGCUUAGGUGGACAAUGCCA
rnacentral:misc_RNA from 1 species